AUCCUUGGUGUCAAUCAACCAACAGAUGGGACUGCUAAAGCUUGGUGACAUCACCCAUAGCCACUUCCAUGUUGUUCUCAUUUCUGUUAAAAAUCUCUCCUGCUGUUCCUUGAGAUGGAGGUGCUCUUCUGACUUGGCUUCCGAAACAGAGCAGCCACUUGACCCUCAGCUUCGUUUCUCUUCUGGGAUAGGUGGGAGUUGCGAGUCUGAGGAAACCCAACCAGUCUAGAGAAUUCACAGUGGGUGGCCACGGAGGCCCUGCCAGUGAGCUACUUAGCAAACUGCAACCAAAGACAACCAACGGCUAGCCAACAGCCAAAGACAGCCAACAGCCAAAGACAGCCAACAGCCAGCCAACAGCCAAAGACAACCAACGGCCAGCCAACAGCCAAAGACAACCAACGGCCAGUCAACAGCCAAAGACAGCCAACAGCCAGCCAACAGCCAGUCAACAGCCAAAGACAACCAACGGCCAGUCAACAGCCAAAGACAACCAACGGCCAGUCAACAGCCAAAGACAGCCAACGGCCAGUCAACAGCCAAAGACAGCCAACAGCCAGCCAACAGCCAAAGACAACCAACAGCCAGCCAACAGCCAAAGACAGCCAACAGCCAGCCAACAGCCUGCCCAGCCUCUUGGGACACUAACCUUUAUGUACCUUCUGAGUAUUUCCCAGAAUUCCAAACAUCACACAAUUGCAGAAACUAUCUUCAGCUAGCAAACCAUGCCUCUGCUAGAGCAUAAGGCAAGAGGCAAAUCAUAGUUGGCUGCUGUUGACAAUCUGAAGCAGGCCUACAGCCCCACACCUGGGAUUAAAACAAAAACAUAUUCUUAUAUUUCUGUGGGUUUUUUUUAAAGAAACCAAAACUCCACAAUUGUCACUACAGCCAUGGCUACCUUCAGGGAUGCAGAGCAAAUAGCAAAGGGUAGGCAAACCCUUGCCAGUGUUUGGUGUUUUGGAAGAGGGAGUCUGUAAGCUGGAAGAGCCUGGAAGUGUUGAGAGUAUCUAUGGGAGAGAUUUGCAAUAGAGAAGAUCUUGAGAGCUAGCCAUGGGGCCACACUAUGUCUUACAGAUAUGUGCUAACUAGGGAAUUAGAUGCUCCUGUUUGUUUGAGGUAGAGGCAGAUAGGGAGGCAGUGCCUGUGGUCGUUUGAAUGAGAAUGGCCCCUAUAGACUCAUAGAUUUGAGUGUUUAGUCAUCGGGGAGCAGCACUAUUUGAGAGGAUUAGGAGGUGUGGCCUUGUUGGAGGAAGUGUGUCACUGGGGAUGGGUUUUGAGGUUUCAAAAUCCCCAUGCCAAGUACAGUGGCUCUCUCUUCCUCUUGCCUUCUCUACCUCGUGUCUACCUGUGUGGACAGACCUCUGACACUAUAAGCAACCCUCCAAUUAAAUGCUUUCUUUUGUAAGAAUUUCCAGGGUCAUGGUCUCUCUUCACAGCAAUGGCACAGUAACUAAGACCAAGUUGGUGUCAGGGAGCUGGGUACUACUGUGACUGGCAUGACCAUGAUGCAUGUUGGCAGAAUGUGGGCUUUGAGACCUUGAAUUAGGAAAGCAUUUGAACCUUUAAGCAGAGCUUAGUGGGCCAUACUAGUGCCAGAAGAUAAAAUCUUAGAGCAUAAAAGGCAGAGUUAAGGUCAAUAUGAACUAUGGGGACUCUGGUCAAGAAAUUUCAAAGCAGAAGAAUUAGGUAGCGUCCUAGAGACCAUUCUUGUGAUAUUUUUUGUGAAGAAUGUGGCUGCUUUCUACCCUUGUCCAAAAAAUCUGCUUGAAGACAAAUGGAAGAGUUUGGACUGAUGACCUUGGCAGAGGAGAUUUCAAACAGCCUAGCAUUGACUGUAUCUUGUAGUUAUCAGUGUUUAUUCCUCUGCAGGUCUAUAAUGAAAAGGAGCGAGCUGAACAAGGUAAAAUACAGAACAUACAGAUUGCGGAGAAGAAGAGUGCCAGGAAGUGUAGUGGACCUAAGUCCAGUGCUCAGUUAGAUUAAAAGUUUGAAGGAAAGCCUGGUGCUUAGUGAAAUUAAGGUUGUGGUGACAUCAGGGCAUGAUCCCACCCAGCUAAGCUUCCAACUCCAGAAAAUUCAAGAAAAGCUUAAGCAGUGAAGGAGCCCUUCAAGAACAGAAAGCUGAUGAAAUGUAUGCGAAUAGGGGGCCGAGUGCCAGCCCCAGCAAGCAGAAGACUGUGCCAGCUUCAGGCGUGUUUCUGGCUUUUAGAGUCAAGGAUACAAGAAAGGGGUUGUGGGAUCUCCCUCUGCAGCUAAGGAAAGCUGCUGAGGCCAGGUGUGAGUCAGACAUGUCUCGGUAUGGAGGCCCAGAGGGGCCAAUGCAUAAAGCUGUGAAGGUGAAACCUGGAUUUACCUGGAGCCUGGAAGAUUUUGGAGAUGCCAGAGUCUUGGUAUAUCUGCCAAGAAGAGCUGGUAGCAGGGAGUGGAACCAGCCCAAGAGGGAGAAGUGUGUUGCAGCCAACAAGGCUAAAAGGAGUUGGAGAUCUGAAGAGCAUUUUGACAUAAGACAUGGAGAUGCAGAGUUUGGAGUUGGCCAUGAUGUUUUUGAUCUUGCUUUGGUCCAGUGUUCCCUCACUGUGCUCCCUUCCCUCCUGUUAGCAUGGUUAUGUACAUACAUGGUCAUGUACAUACUGUAUGUUGGAAGUAUGUGACCUGACUUUAUAUUUGGAUAUUUACAGGGGGUUACAGUUAAAAGAUUUCCUUGAGUCUCAGAAGAAGCUUUGAAGUUUUAAACAGUGUUGAGAUGUGACAGACUGGGGGGGGCUUUUGAGGUUGGACUGCAUGCAGUUUUGCAUUAGGAUAUGGCUUCAAGCUUAUGGGGGCCAGGGAGUGGAAUGUGGUGGUGUGAAUGAAAAUGUCCCCAUAGACUCACGUGUUUGAAGGCUUAGUCUUUAGGGAGUGAAGCUAAUUAAGAAAGAUCAGAAGGUGUGGCCUUGUUGGAGGAAGUGUGUCACUUAGGGUGAGCUUAGAGGUUCUUUUAUAAGAGUUGGUAUGGUCAUGGUGUCUCUUCACAGCAAUGCUGACUAAACCAUCGUGGGUACAGACGUUUGCUACUAAACCUGAAAAACUUGGUUCAGUUAAUGGCCCUAGAACCCACAUAAUGGACGGAGAGAACUGACUUGACAAAUUUGUUGUUUGGACCUCCACACAUGUACUGUGGCAAGCCAGUGUGUGUGCAUGUGCACAAAUACACACAUCCCAAAAUAAAUUUAACUUUCAAGUGUGCAAACAA